rnacentral:sRNA from 1 species
GAAGCCUUUUGUUCUCUGUUCUCUUCCUCUAUUUUCUGGUAUAUCGUAUCAAGAACAAUUUUUCUGGGGCUCCUUUUAAAGGAUUUCUUCUUCUACCUCUAUCACAUCCCUCCCUGUGUUCUAGAUAACUCUCUUUUCCAACCCAAUACGUUUAACACCCCGAUCACUUUGAAGCUUGAUGAUAACAACUUCUUGCCAUGGAAGCAACAACUCUAUGCCAUCAUUCAAGACCAAUUCUGCAUAUCUUUUUUCCAUGGCCAAGACAAACUUUUUCUUCCAUGGAUGUUAUGCGCCUCUACUCAAGUUUGGAAAUCUU